GAGCACAGUAUCUGUUCUGAUUUCCAGCAGCUCGGUUAAUUUUCACUGGAGGGAAGGUGGUGGCAGCCCCUUUCAUCGGAGCGGAGCCGUCAACAUGCAGUGCCCCAGGGCUGCCUCUGGCGGGUGCCGGGAAUGCCGAGCGGUGUGGUCACCUGCAAGCUGGGGAAUCGAAAUGGGAAUAAUGAAGACGAAGGAAAUGCGACGAGGAUUGGUAUUCACGGAGCAGCACCUGUUUCCAGGCCUGUUUUUCAAUUUUUACAAUAGCCCCACGAGUUACGUACCAUUACCAUUUCCCAAAUGAGAAAAUCAAGGCACAGACAGGUCAAGUCCUUUGGCGGAGGGGAGCAGAGAAGUGUCACAGGGGUGGCAGUCACGCAGUCACCCAGGAGGGGCCCGGAAGGGGGUACUCAAGCUGAGACUGGAGCCCCCUCCCCCUCCGCAUGCGCCCAGACCAUGCCAGAUGUUUCCCAGCUGUGGACUGGUGCUCCCCGCAGACGCCGGCCCCAAGGCCCACCCUCGCCGGUGAGGCUUCCCGGAGGGAGCUGCGUUCGUCAGAGACGCUGGGAGCAGGCAGUGCAGAGAGCUCUGGCGUGCACAGGCGUGGGCGGACCGCGGCGAGGGCGCGAUCAGUUCCUUCCGAUCUCUUCUCGUGUCUGGGUCUGCUGGGCAUUCACUCAUCACUCCAAAAGAACAGCACCCAGCAUGCGCUCACACAGCCUUGUUCUGCACCCCAACUUUCACCAUGACUGGGGGGAAAGGAAGGGCUUCUAG
rnacentral:lncRNA from 1 species